rnacentral:rRNA from 1 species
GACGAACGCUGGUGGCGUGCUUAACACAUGCAAGUCGAACGGAAAGGCCCUGCUUGCAGGGUGCUCGAGUGGCGAACGGGUGAGUAACACGUGGGUGAUCUGCCCCUUACUUUGGGAUAAGCCUGGGAAACUGGGUCUAAUACUGGAUAGGACCAUGCUGUAGGUGGUGUGGUGGAAAGAUUAGUUUCGGUAAGGGAUGAGCUCGCGGCCUAUCAGCUUGUUGGUGGGGUAAUGGCCUACCAAGGCGUCGACGGGUAGCCGGCCUGAGAGGGUGGACGGCCACAUUGGGACUGAGAUACGGCCCAGACUCCUACGGGAGGCAGCAGUGGGGAAUAUUGCACAAUGGGCGCAAGCCUGAUGCAGCGACGCCGCGUGGGGGAUGACGGCCUUCGGGUUGUAAACUCCUUUCAGCCAUGACGAAGCCCUUGUGGUGACGGUAGUGGUAGAAGAAGCACCGGCUAACUACGUG